rfam:Medicago truncatula strain A17 chromosome 6, whole genome shotgun sequence.
UUAGGUUUUCUUCAUUUUCUUCUGGAAUUUUUAUGGGAUUCUUGUUGUUGAAGGUCAAUGGAGAUGAUAUGAAGAUGAAAAAGAGGAGAAG